GCCAGUGUGCUGUAGUGGUUUGAGUGUUGGACUACAACUCUAGAGACCAGGGUUCGAUUCUCAACUCGGCCG
rnacentral:tRNA from 1 species